rnacentral:rRNA from 1 species
GAUGAACGCUGGCGGCGUGCCUAAUACAUGCAAGUCGAGCGAACAGAUGAGGAGCUUGCUCCUCUGACGUUAGCGGCGGACGGGUGAGUAACACGUGGAUAACCUACCUAUAAGACUGGGAUAACUUCGGGAAACCGGAGCUAAUACCGGAUAAUAUAUUGAACCGCUUGGUUCAAUAGUGAAAGACGGUUUUGCUGUCACUUAUAGAUGGAUCCGCGCCGCAUUAGCUAGUUGGUAAGGUAACGGCUUACCAAGGCAACGAUGCGUAGCCGACCUGAGAGGGUGAUCGGCCACACUGGAACUGAGACACGGUCCAGACUCCUACGGGAGGCAGCAGUAGGGAAUCUUCCGCAAUGGGCGAAAGCCUGACGGAGCAACGCCGCGUGAGUGAUGAAGGUCUUCGGAUCGUAAAACUCUGUUAUUAGGGAAGAACAAAUGUGUAAGUAACUAUGCACGUCUUGACGGUACCUAAUCAGAAAGCCACGGCUAACUACGUG